CUGGGAAUUUUGCGCAAUGGACGAAAGUCUGACGCAGCAACGCCGCGUGGGCGAGGAAGGCCUUCGGGUUGUAAAGCCCUUUUGAUGGGGACGAAAAAAAUGACGGUACCCGUCGAAUAAGCACCGGCUAACUCCGUGCCAGCAGCCGCGGUAAUACGGAGGGUGCAAGCGUUAUUCGGAAUUACUGGGCGUAAAGCGCGCGUAGGCGGCUCGGACAGUCUGGUGUGAAAUCCCUCGACUCAAUCGGGGAAGUGCAUUGGAUACUACCGGGCUCGAGUACUGGAGGGGAGAACGGAAUUCCAGGUGUAGAGGUGAAAUUCGUAGAUAUCUGGAGGAACAACGGUGGCGAAGGCGGUUCUCUGGACAGUAACUGACGCUGAGGCGCGAAAGUGUGGGGAGCAAACAGG
rnacentral:rRNA from 1 species